GAUGAACGCUGGCGGCGUGCCUAAUACAUGCAAGUCGAGCGAAUGGAUUGAGAGCUUGCUCUUAUGAAGUUAGCGGCGGACGGGUGAGUAACGCGUGGGUAACCUGCCCAUAAGACUGGGAUAACUCCGGGAAACCGGGGCUAAUACCGGAUAACAUUUUGAACCGCAUGGUUCGAAAUUGAAAGGCGGCUUCGGCUGUCACUUAUGGAUGGACCCGCGUCGCAUUAGCUAGUUGGUGAGGUAACGGCUCACCAAGGCAACGAUGCGCAGCCGACCUGAGAGGGUGAUCGGCCACACUGGGACUGAGACACGGCCCAGACUCCUACGGGAGGCAGCAGUAGGGAAUCUUCCGCAAUGGACGAAAGUCUGACGGAGCAACGCCGCGUGAGUGAUGAAGGCUUUCGGGUCGUAAAACUCUGUUGUUAGGGAAGAACAAGUGCUAGUUGAAUAAGCUGGCACCUUGACGGUACCUAACCAGAAAGCCACGGCUAACUACGUGCCAGCCGCCGCGGUAA
rnacentral:rRNA from 1 species